rnacentral:rRNA from 1 species
UACGUAGGGUGCGAGCGUUAAUCGGAAUUACUGGGCGUAAAGCGUGCGCAGGCGGUUAUGUAAGACAGUUGUGAAAUCCCCGGGCUCAACCUGGGAAUUGCAUCUGUGACUGCAUAGCUAGAGUGCGGCAGAGGGGGAUGGAAUUCCGCGUGUAGCAGUGAAAUGCGUAGAUAUGCGGAGGAACACCGAUGGCGAAGGCAAUCCCCUGGGCCUGCACUGACGCUCAUGCACGAAAGCGUGGGGAGCAAACAGGAUUAGAUACCCUGGUAGUCCACGCCCUAAACGAUGUCAACUGGUUGUUGGGUGCAUUAGUACUCAGUAACGAAGCUAACGCGUGAAGUUGACCGCCUGGGGAGUACGGCCGCAAGGUUGAA